rnacentral:lncRNA from 1 species
UCCAAGCCUCGGCAUCUUAUGCUCCACCUGGCAAGCCAGAACCUGGUUUGUCCGCAUUGGCUGCGGUGCAGGUUUUUCCUUUACAUGCAAUUCACAAAUAAGUUGCUCUCUGUACUCAGUAUUAGAUUACUUAAACUUUUGUGCAGGCCUAGAGACUCCUAUUUGAAUACCUGUCGUCAUGUACUGUACUCAGUAUUAGAUUACUUAACUUUUAUGCAGGCCUAAAGACUCCUAUCUGAAUACAUGACAUCAUGUAAUUCACAUAUAAAUUCAAAACCGGCGUGUUAGCAGCCUAAGAGAUGGGAAACAUGGAUGAUAAAGAAUGUAUCAUGCUCAUAUAGAUUUUAGGAUUCUUGCAUCUAGUAAGUAAUUUAAAAAUAUCAGUAGGAUUUUCCUGAGUCAUUCAAGGCACCAUGGGUGUCUCCAAUAAACUAAUGCAGAAAAUGUGAGUCUACUGAACGUGUCUCUGAUUGAUGAAUGUACUUCACAAGUGCCCCUAUGAAGUGGUGCCUUAGAAAAUUAUGAACUCGACAUUAAGGAAGAUUACACGCUAGCACAUUGAAAUGUCAAACUUGACAGUUGAAAUUUCUCUUCUUCUUUUCCCCCCUUUCUUAUCCAUAUAUAUACCUAACUUGACAAGGCUAUUGUACAACAACAACAACAACUACCCAUUAUACUCCCACCAGGUGGGGUCUGGGGAGGGUAAUAUNN